rnacentral:rRNA from 1 species
GGACAGUGGCGAAAGGGUGAGUAACACGUGAGUAUCUGCCUCCGGGUCGGGGACAGCCCGCGGAAACGCGGAUUAAUACCCGACGAACCCCACGGGGUAAAGAGGAAUCGCCCGGAGAUGAGCUCGCGGNCCAUCAGCUAGUUGGCGGGGUAACGGCCCACCAAGGCUACGACGGGUAGGUGGUCUGAGAGGAUGGUCACCCACACUGGGACUGAGACACUGCCCAGACUCCUACGGGAGGCUGCAGUCGAGAAUCAUCCGCAAUGGGCGAAAGCCUGACGGUGCAAUGCCGCGUGGGGGAUGAAGGCCUUCGGGUCGUAAACCCCUGUCAGAAGGGACGAAGCAAGUGACGGUACCUUCAGAGGAAGCCACGGCUAACUACGUGCCAGCAGCCGCGGUAAUACGUAGGUGGCGAGCGUUAUUCGGAUUUACUGGGCGUAAAGGGUCCGCAGGGGGUUUGCCAAGUCCGGUGUGAAAGUCCAGGGCUCAACCCUGGAACUGCGCCGGAUACUGGUGAACUUGAGUGCGCGAAGGGCAGGCGGAAUUCCUGGUGUAGCGGUGGAAUGCGUAGAUAUCAGGAAGAACACCGACGGCGAAAGCGGCCUGCUGGCGCGCCACUGACCCUCAUGGACGAAAGCGUGGGUAGCAAACAGGAUUAGAUACCCUGGUAGUCCACGCUGUAAACGGUGCAGACCCGAUGCGGGGGGCAGCCCCCUCCGUGUCCAAGCCAACGCGUUAAGUCUGCCGCCUGGGGACUACGGUCGCAAGGCUAAAACUCAAAGGGAAUUGACGGGGGCCCGCACAAGCGGUGGAGCAUGUGGCUUAAUUCGAGGCAACGCGAAGAACCUUACCCGGGCUUGACAUAUUCCGGCCCGCCUGUGAAAGCAGGCUUUCCCUUCGGGGACCGGAUUACAGGUGCUGCAUGGCUGUCGUCAGCUCGUGCCGUGAGGUGUUCGGUUAAGUCCGGCAACGAGCGCAACCCGUAUUGUCAGUUGCCAUCAGGUUAUGCUGGGCACUCUGGCGAGACUGCCCGUGUCAAGCGGGAGGA